GCUCAACCGGGGAGGGUCAUUAGAAACUGGGGAACUUGAGUGCAGAAGAGGAGAGUGGAAUUCCACGUGUAGCGGUGAAAUGCGUAGAGAUGUGGAGGAACACCAGUGGCGAAGGCGACUCUCUGGUCUGUAACUGACGCUGAGGCGCGAAAGCGUGGGGAGCGAACAGGAUUAGAUACCCUGGUAGUCCACGCCGUAAACGAUGAGUGCUAAGUGUUAGAGGGUUUCCGCCCUUUAGUGCUGCAGCAAACGCAUUAAGCACUCCGCCUGGGGAGUACGGUCGCAAGACUGAAACUCAAAGGAAUUGACGGGGGCCCGCACAAGCGGUGGAGCAUGUGGUUUAAUUCGAAGCAACGCGAAGAACCUUACCAGGUCUUGACAUCCUCUGACAACCCUAGAGAUAGGGCUUCCCCUUCGGGGGCAGAGUGACAGGUGGUGCAUGGUUGUCGUCAGCUCGUGUCGUGAGAUGUUGGGUUAAGUCCCGCAACGAGCGCAACCCUUGAUCUUAGUUGCCAGCAUUCAGUUGGGCACUCUAAGGUGACUGCCGGUGACAAACCGGAGGAAGGUGGGGAUGACGUCAAAUCAUCAUGCCCCUUAUGACCUGGGCUACACACGUGCUACAAUGGGCAGAACAAAG
rnacentral:rRNA from 1 species